AAAUGCAGGCAGAGGAAAGAAAAAAAAUGAAUAUUUAUAAUACCAGGAGAAUGUAAAAAUAUAAUUAGAGAGUGUACAGAUGAUUCUUGAGUAACAGGAUCUGAGGCAGUCGGUACAGUCCUCGUGCACCACACUCUUAGGUAUUGAUAUUUUUAUGCAAAAAUAAUUAUGGAGAGUGGUAUAUUUCUUUUCAUGUUGUUUCUUUUGUCACAUGAUAUAUUACUUUGUAUCCAUAUUUCAUAAAAGUAUUUAAAAUUCUCCUGUAAUCUGUAUGGUUAUUUAUAUGAUUAGAUGUAUUUUGCUUUAUUUUAGUUUUGUCAAGUUAAUUAAUAGGUAAUUAUUUUGAAAAUGCCACCAGAACAGCAGUUUGCAGAAAAAGACUGUUAAAAACUGAAGGCUGAGGCCUUCUAUAUAUUGUGGGCUUCCAGGUACGUCGUAUUUUUAUGUAGUAAAAUGA
rnacentral:lncRNA from 1 species